CGAGAAAGGAGAAGGGUCUGUCGUUCUUUCUCUCUAGGAACGCGCUAUUGAGAGUUGAUGCUGUCUCGUCUGAUGCGGUUUGGUACUGACCUUCUCUGGAUCGAUAAUCCGUGGAUCUAGCUGAAGGGACGACUGGACGGUGCAGGUGAAGCAAUUUCCUGCAAGAUGUGGACAUCUAUGCGUGGGUGAAUUUUUCGAAGAAGAAAUACAAAGCUGUCGUUCAAUGUUAUACUCCAAUGUUUCAAAUUAUUUUAAAUUAAAGCACUAAUUUCCUA